AUUCGGAGUCCUUUUUCUGGAGGUUUGCACCAUUUUUAUGUAAGAUCUCAUUCUAUGAAUGGAUUCAGUCCAAGUAUUCUGCAAGUUUUGAACCAAUGAGAGAAUUGGAGGCCGACUCAGAAAUUAAGAGUUCUAGACGGGCUGGUCAUGUCUAUUUAUUUCAAAACUUAUGAGAAUUUAAUAAAUGAUAUUUUAUAACACCAUCAGAAAAUCUUAACAAACUCCAUUAAACCGCACAUCUUCCAUUUUUAGGAGCCCAACUUUUUUUCUUAGGUGGCAAAAUUCACUGGAGGUGAGUGGAAGGGGGUUGGAGAGGCAGCCAAUCCAUCCUGAUUCUUUGCUCUGGUCAACUUCUGAUUCUG
rnacentral:lncRNA from 1 species